GCGGAAGGAUCAUUAC
rnacentral:rRNA from 9 species